UACGGGGGGGGCAAGCGUUGUUCGGAAUUACUGGGCGUAAAGGGCUCGUAGGCGGCCAACUAAGUCGAACGUGAAAUCCCCGGGCUCAACCCGGGAACUGCGUCCGAUACUGGCAGGCUUGAAUCCGGGAGAGGGAUGUGGAAUUCCAGGUGUAGCGGUGAAAUGCGUAGAUAUCUGGAGGAACACCGGUGGCGAAGGCGGCAUCCUGGACCGGUAUUGACGCUGAUGCGCGAAAGCCAGGGGAGCAAACGGG
rnacentral:rRNA from 1 species